rnacentral:rRNA from 1 species
GAUGAACGCUGGCGGCGUGCCUAAUACAUGCAAGUCGAGCGAACAGACGAGGAGCUUGCUCCUCUGACGUUAGCGGCGGACGGGUGAGUAACACGUGGAUAACCUACCUAUAAGACUGGGAUAACUUCGGGAAACCGGAGCUAAUACCGGAUAAUAUAUUGAACCGCAUGGUUCAAUAGUGAAAGACGGUUUUGCUGUCACUUAUAGAUGGAUCCGCGCCGCAUUAGCUAGUUGGUAAGGUAACGGCUUAUCAAGGCAACGAUGCGUAGCCGAACUGAGAGGGUGGUCGGCCACACUGGAACUGAGACACGGUCCAGACUCUUACGGGAGGCAGCAGUAGGGAAUCUUCCGCAAUGGGCGAAAGCUUGACGGAGCAGCGCCGCGUGAGUGAUGAAGGUCUUCGGAUCGUAAAACUCUGUUAUUAGGGAAGAACAAAUGUGUAAGUAACUAUGCACGUCUUGACGGUACCUAAUCAGAAAGCCACGGCUAACUACGUG